rnacentral:rRNA from 1 species
AUUGAACGCUGGCGGCAUGCUUUACACAUGCAAGUCGAACGGUAACAGGCCGCAAGGUGCUGACGAGUGGCGAACGGGUGAGUAAUGCAUCGGAACGUGUCCAGUCGUGGGGGAUAACUACUCGAAAGAGUAGCUAAUACCGCAUACGAUCUAUGGAUGAAAGCGGGGGACCGUAAGGCCUCGCGCGAUUGGAGCGGCCGAUGUCAGAUUAGUUAGUUGGUGGGGUAAAGGCUCACCAAGCCAACGAUCUGUAGCUGGUCUGAGAGGACGACCAGCCACACUGGGACUGAGACACGGCCCAGACUCCUACGGGAGGCAGCAGUGGGGAAUUUUGGGCAAUGGGCGCAAGCCUGAUCCAGCAAUGCCGCGUGCAGGAAGAAGGCCUUCGGGUUGUAAACUGCUUUUGUACGGAACGAAACGACUCUGGUUAAUACCCGGAGCUAAUGACGGUACCGUAAGAAUAAGCACCGGCUAACUACGUG